rnacentral:rRNA from 1 species
UUAUUGGGCCUAAAGCAUCCGUAGCCGGUUCUGCAAGUCUUCCGUUAAAUCCACCUGCUUAACAGAUGGGCUGCGGAAGAUACUAUAGAGCUAGGAGGCGGGAGAGGCAAGCGGUACUCGAUGGGUAGGGGUAAAAUCCGUUGAUCCAUUGAAGACCACCAGUGGCGAAGGCGGCUUGCCAGAACGCGCUCGACGGUGAGGGAUGAAAGCUGGGGGAGCAAACCGGAUUAGAUACCCGGGUAGUCCCAGCUGUAAACGAUGCAGACUCGGUGAUGAAUUGGCUUCAUGCCAAUUCAGUGCCGCAGGGAAGCCGUUAAGUUUGCCGCCUGGGGAGUACGGUCGCAAGACUGAAACUCAAAGGAAUUGCCGGGGGAGCACCACAAGGGGUGAAGCCUGCGGUUCAAUUGGAGUCAACGCCGGAAAUCUUACCGGGGGCGACAGCA